rnacentral:rRNA from 1 species
AGAUUGAACGCUGGCGGCAUGCUUUACACAUGCAAGUCGAACGGCAGCACGGGGGCAACCCUGGUGGCGAGUGGCGAACGGGUGAGUAAUAUAUCGGAACGUACCCGGAAAUGGGGGAUAACGUAGCGAAAGUUACGCUAAUACCGCAUAUGCCCUGAGGGGAAGGCGGGAGUCGUAAGGACGCCUCG